UACGAGGGGGGCAAGCGUUGUUCGGAAUUAUUGGGCGUAAAGAGCUCGUAGGCGGUCUGUUGCGUCGGCUGUGAAAACCCGGGGCUCAACUCCGGGCCUGCAGCCGAUACGGGCAGACUAGAGUUCGGCAGGGGAGACUGGAAUUCCUGGUGUAGCGGUGAAAUGCGCAGAUAUCAGGAGGAACACCGGUGGCGAAGGCGGGUCUCUGGGCCGAUACUGACGCUGAGGAGCGAAAGCGUGGGGAGCGAACAGG
rnacentral:rRNA from 1 species